UAUUGGACAAUGGGGGGAACCCUGAUCCAGCGACGCCGCGUGAGUGAAGAAGUAUCUCGGUAUGUAAAGCUCUAUCAGCAGGGAAGAAGGAAUGACGGUACCUGAGUAAGAAGCCCCGGCUAACUACGCGCCAGCAGCCGCGGUAAUACGUAGGAGGCAAGCGUUAUCCGGAAUGACUGGGCGUAAAGGGUGCGUAGGUGGUUUGACGAGUUAGUAGCGCAACUCCGGAGCUCAACUUCGGAACUACUACUAAAACUGUUGAACUUGAGUGCAGGAGGGGCAAUCGGAAUUCCUAGUGUAGCGGUGGAAUGCGUAGAUAUUAGGAGGAACACCAGUGGCGAAGGCGGAUUGCUAGACUGUAACUGACACUGAGGCACGAAAGCGUGGGGAGCAAAC
rnacentral:rRNA from 1 species